ACGCUCGACACCUACGGGAUGCAGCAGUGGGGAAUAUUGGGCAAUGGGCGAAAGCCUGACCCAGCAACGCCGCGUGAGGGAAGAAGGUUUUCGGAUUGUAAACCUCUGUCCUCAGGGACGAAGGACGUGACGGUACCUGAGGAGGAAGCCCCGGCUAACUACGUGCCANCAGCCGCGGUAAUCUGAGCGGGCUGGCAAGGC
rnacentral:rRNA from 1 species